AUAACAGCUUUUUCUUCUUGGAUCAAUUAGUCAUUUGAUCAGUUUCUUCUUCUUCACCAUCAUCACGAUUAAUUUCUUCUUCGUCUUUAUCAUCGCAAUCACAUCAUCAAUAAUCAUCAUCAUGAGCAGUUUAAUCAAUCAUCAUCACUAGAGAUGAUCUGAGAGGCUGACCGUGAUAGCAAGAUAGUGGCAUGACAGGGGCUUCAUUCUUUAACAAAGAGCUUGGUUCUUUAGUGACGUUGUUGCCCACCGAUGAUCGUUGGCUUUAGUUCGAGGUGCUGGGCUUAUGGGUGAGAGAGUUAGGUAUUUGCAGAUUUUCG
rnacentral:lncRNA from 1 species